rnacentral:rRNA from 1 species
AACGAACGCUGGCAGCAUGCCUAACACAUGCAAGUCGAACGAGACCUUCGGGUCUAGUGGCGCACGGGUGCGUAACGCGUGGGAACCUGCCCUUAGGUUCGGAAUAACUCCCCGAAAGGGGUGCUAAUACCGGAUAAUGUCUUCGGACCAAAGAUUUAUCGCCUUUGGAUGGGCCCGCGUUGGAUUAGCUAGUUGGUAGGGUAAAAGCCUACCAAGGCGACGAUCCAUAGCUGGUCUGAGAGGAUGAUCAGCCACACUGGGACUGAGACACGGCCCAGACUCCUACGGGAGGCAGCAGUGGGGAAUAUUAGACAAUGGGCGAAAGCCUGAUCCAGCAAUGCCGCGUGAGUGAUGAAGGCCUUAGGGUUGUAAAGCUCUUUUACCCGGGAUGAUAAUGACAGUACCGGGAGAAUAAGCGCCGGCUAACUCCGUG